AGUUGAGAGACUGAUCGGCCACNNUGGGACUGAGACACGGCCCAUACUCCUACGGGAGGCAGCAGUAGGGAAUCUUCCACAAUGGGCGAAAGCCUGAUGGAGCAACGCCGCGUGUGUGAUGAAGGGUUUCGGCUCGUAAAACACUGUUGUAAGAGAAGAAUGACAUUGAGAGUAACUGUUCAAUGUGUGACGGUAUCUUACCAGAAAGGAACGGCUAACU
rnacentral:rRNA from 1 species